CCUCAAACACUCUCUCUGGUAGCCUGAAGCAUUCCUCAAAGAAAUUCACCAGGGACUGACUGAGGUGCUGCCGUGUGGCUUCGCUGUGAAUGAAGUGGCCUUCAUCUGGGUAGAUCUGAGACACAAAGAAUAAGGUUUUCAAGAUAACAAGCAAAAACCUCCUGCUACACAUACUUGAGCGCAUCCUUCUGAUCCUGCUCCUCGAACACACCCACUUUCUUCUGGAUCCGGUGAAGCAGGUUGGUGCCCUGGAAGCCGCUGCCCCGUCCAUCACAGCGCACCACGACGGCACCGAAGCUGCUCACCAGGACUGUGGCCCAGUCCAUGUGAAACCGUUCUGACACCAUCUGACCACCAGGUGUCCCAUCGCUGCAUGUGAAAAACCACAGACAAACCAGAUGAGUGAAGGCAAGGCUGCUACAUGAUUUUUUUCUUAUAUCCUAUUCAUUUUUAUUUUUAGUUAUGAGUUUGUGUCUUCAUUAUAUUAUCCCCUAAUCUGUCCAAACACUUCUUUUCACAGACAUUUGGGACAGAUUUGGAUGACUGUUAUGUACCAUGUGUAUCUGCGAGCUCGCAGGAUUCUCAGGAUAAAACCUUAAUUUGAAAAGUUUACUUCAUCCCAAAGCUAAUGUGGCACAAUGUUCACAGAUAAGAAGUCACGAUAAACAAGAAAAGCUUGGAUUUGAGCUAAAAGGAAGGGAAGGAAUACUAAUGAAAGAAUGAAGGUGGAAAGGAGGGUAAGUUUCCUCAUUUGCAGUGUAAUUAUUACCCAGCUAGAGUAGAGGACAAAGCAGCGCACCCUCUUGUUAGAUUAAUAAGCCUGAUUAAAAGUCUGUCCGGGAAAUCUCCACUGAUGAGGACGAGCAUGUCCUCGUAUAACUUGGAGAGGAAUGUGAGUCAGUGCUGCUAGAGCACACAAACUUUUUCUGUGUGUGUGUGUGUGUGUAAAAACAUGCGCUCAUACAUACACAAGCAGGAUGAGCGGGUAGUGUGAAGUGUCCACGAAGCCUGCGGGUUUGAGGAUCUGCAUCGACAAAGCUGUAAACCAGAUACACAACAGAUAUUUUUUUACUUUCUGUUUUUGCUACUAUGAUUCAUUACAAACUGUUAAAUUAUUUUUUUCACAAAAAAAAACAAACUGAUUUGAGUUGCAGAAAAUAAAUUGUGAUAUCACCUCGUUCUGGAGGAGUCUCACCUAGGCUGCUACAGUACUGAAAUUAUAAUCACAGCCUACUACAGUGGAAAUAAAAAGUAUUUGAACCCCUUGGAAGGAGCUGGUUUCAUUAACUGCUCAUAAAAUAUGAUAUGAUCUUUAUUGAACACAGCCAUUAAACACUCUAGGGCUAGUAAGUGAACCCUUGGAUUUAAUAACUGGUUGAACCUGCUUUAGCAGCAAUAACCUCAAACAUUAUCUUCCAGCAGAUCUGAAAUAUACUGGUGGUGGUGGUGGUGGGGGGUGUUGUUGACGUAGUGACUUGGUGUGACCAACAACAAAAUGUUUAUUUAAUAUUCCUGAGUGACAUAUUCCUCUUACCACACUGGGACCUGCUGCUUCAGCCUCUCCCUCAGCUGUCUCAUCUGACUUUCCCAUUCAAUAUCCACCCUGUCAGCGUCUUCUAACGUAAUACCACACGUCUCCCUCUAUCUCUCUUUCUGUUUGUCUUUGUGCAUUAGCAGAACCAAACAGUAUAUGGGAGCGAGUAAGGAAUUGUUAAUCAAUUCUGGAUUGCGACGUUCUGAUGGAUUUAAAAACAUAUAAAUAAAAUGUCAAAGUGA